rnacentral:rRNA from 1 species
AGCGACGUCAAAGCGUAUACAAAGUCGAGUCGGUUUAAGGAUACGUUCGUUGGGUAGGGGAGCGUUCUGUAAGCCUGUGAAGGUGGCCUGUGAGGGUUGCUGGAGGUAUCAGAAGUGCGAAUGCUGACAUAAGUAACGAUAAAGCGGGUGAAAAGCCCGCUCGCCGGAAGACCAAGGGUUCCUGUCCAACGUUAAUCGGGGCAGGGUGAGUCGACCCCUAAGGCGAGGCCGAAAGGCGUAGUCGAUGGGAAACGGGUUAAUAUUCCCGUACUUGGUGUUACUGCGAAGGGGGGACGGAGAAGGCUAUGUUGGCCGGGCGACGGUUGUCCCGGUUUAAGCGUGUAGGUGUGUGUUCCAGGUAAAUCCGGUUCACUUUAACACUGAGGCGUGACGACGAGGCACUACGGUGCUGAAGCAACAAAUGCCCUGCUUCCAGGAAAAGCCUCUAAGCAUCAGGUAACAUCAAAUCGUACCCCAAACCGACACAGGUGGUCAGGUAGAGAAUACCAAGGCGCUUGAGAGAACUCGGGUGAAGGAACUAGGCAAAAUGGUGCCGUAACUUCGGGAGAAGGCACGCUGACACGUAGGUGAAGUGAUUUACUCACGGAGCUGAAGUCAGUCGAAGAUACCAGCUGGCUGCAACUGUUUAUUAAAAACACAGCACUGUGCAAACACGAAAGUGGACGUAUACGGUGUGACGCCUGCCCGGUGCCGGAAGGUUAAUUGAUGGGGUCAGCGCAAGCGAAGCUCCUGAUCGAAGCCCCGGUAAACGGCGGCCGUAACUAUAACGGUCCUAAGGUAGCGAAAUUCCUUGUCGGGUAAGUUCCGACCUGCACGAAUGGCGUAAUGAUGGCCAGGCUGUCUCCACCCGAGACUCAGUGAAAUUGAACUCGCUGUGAAGAUGCAGUGUACCCGCGGCAAGACGGAAAGACCCCGUGAACCUUUACUAUAGCUUGACACUGAACAUUGAGCCUUGAUGUGUAGGAUAGGUGGGAGGCUUUGAAGUGUGGACGCCAGUCUGCAUGGAGCCGACCUUGAAAUACCACCCUUUAAUGUUUGAUGUUCUAACGUGGACCCGUAAUCCGGGUUGCGGACAGUGUCUGGUGGGUAGUUUGACUGGGGCGGUCUCCUCCUAAAGAGUAACGGAGGAGCACGAAGGUUGGCUAAUCCUGGUCGGACAUCAGGAGGUUAGUGCAAUGGCAUAAGCCAGCUUGACUGCGAGCGUGACGGCGCGAGCAGGUGCGAAAGCAGGUCAUAGUGAUCCGGUGGUUCUGAAUGGAAGGGCCAUCGCUCAACGGAUAAAAGGUACUCCGGGGAUAACAGGCUGAUACCGCCCAAGAGUUCAUAUCGACGGCGGUGUUUGGCACCUCGAUGUCGGCUCAUCACAUCCUGGGGCUGAAGUAGGUCCCAAGGGUAUGGCUGUUCGCCAUUUAAAGUGGUACGCGAGCUGGGUUUAGAACGUCGUGAGACAGUUCGGUCCCUAUCUGCCGUGGGCGCUGGAGAACUGAGGGGGGCUGCUCCUAGUACGAGAGGACCGGAGUGGACGCAUCACUGGUGUUCGGGUUGUCAUGCCAAUGGCACUGCCCGGUAGCUAAAUGCGGAAGAGAUAAGUGCUGAAAGCAUCUAAGCACGAAACUUGCCCCGAGAUGAGUUCUCCCUGAGACUUAGAGUCUCCUGAAGGAACGUUGAAGACGACGACGUUGAUAGGCCGGGUGUGUAAGCGCAGCGAUGCGUUGAGCUAACCGGUACUAAUGAACCGUGAGGCUUAACCUUACA